CACUUUACUACUCUUAUAGUGAAUCAUAUAUUAUAUUAGGGUAGAAGAUAAAUUGUGGAAGAACAGAAAAUGGCGUGAAACAAAAACCAAAAGCUCUGGAAAAAAAAUUGAUUGCACUGUCAGGGAGUGCAGCGAUUGUACCAAUGACUUCAACUUGCCCUAAGCUCUAGCCAGUCUCCAACAUAUCAGGUUCUAGGGUGCAGCUGCAGAUGGACAUAGGAGCUUUCGAGUCGACGCAGAAGUUACCCGGACGUGGAGAUUUCAUCCACAUUUGGUAGGCCCUCAUGCUUUUGAGUAUGCUUACCGAUUUAUUCUAGCGUAGGCGUAGGCAUGAGCAUGUGGAGUGUGUUCCACUAGCAUUUCUUUCGUAUUUACUUUCAGACGUUGUAUUGGUGCCAUUUUGGCAACUCUAUAUUUAUGACUAUAUCUUUCAUUUGAUUA